rnacentral:rRNA from 1 species
GGCAGUGGCUUGAAAAGGGCGAGCCUGAGCGCGCGCUAGGGGGGAUAUGACCGCUUCGGUUGAAACCUCUUUAGCACAGACGAAGCGUGAGUGACGGUAUGUGCAGAAGAAGCACCGGCCAACUACGUGCCAGCAGCCGCGGUAAUACGUAGGGUGCGAGCGUUGUCCGGAAUUACUGGGCGUAAAGAGCUCGUAGGUGGUUUGUCGCGUUGUUCGUGAAAACUCACAGCUUAACUGUGGGCGUGCGGGCGAUACGGGCAGACUGGAGUACUGCAGGGGAGACUGGAAUUCCUGGUGUAGCGGUGGAAUGCGCAGAUAUCAGGAGGAACACCGGUGGCGAAGGCGGGUCUCUGGGCAGUAACUGACGCUGAGGAGCGAAAGCGUGGGGAGCGAACAGGAUUAGAUACCCUGGUAGUCCACGCCGUAAACGGUGGGUACUAGGUGUGGGUUUCCUUCCUUGGGAUCCGUGCCGUAGCUAACGCAUUAAGUACCCCGCCUGGGGAGUACGGCCGCAAGGCUAAAACUCAAAGGAAUUUGACGG